UAUUUUAGCAUUUUGGUGCAUUUUCUUUAAAAAUUAAAAAUUCUGUCUAAAAACCAAAGUAAUGCGCCACCUUCAGCUGAAAACAUAGAAUUUGAGUCAUUUUGAAUAAAUUUUAGCCAAUGGCUAAAGAGUAAAGUACUACAUAAACCAGUAGAGUACUACGUAGCAGCUCCGUGCCAAAGUUAUAAAAGCAACGAGCGUCUCGGCCACGCCCUGUGGCGAGUGGGAGUUGGAUUUGCAAGUGAGCGUAGGAGGUCAGCGGUAGUUCAGCAUUAGCAUAUAGCAUUAGCAUAUCCUAGUCUUUAGCAUAUCUUUUAGUGUUAUACAUACUUAUUUAGUGUUAGCUUGGCUGUUGGAUAUUGUAGUUUAGUUAGUGUUUGGCUUUUAGUGUAAUUGGGAAAGUAUUUCGGGUUUAGUGUUCAUAUCGUCUUAGUAUUGGUGAGAUGGUGUAGUGUAGUAUGCUUGCGGUGACUCUGUGGGCAUUUUACCCGCGAUUCUGCACGUCUCCGUUUGAAGAGGGAGGCUGCCCACCGUGGCUCUUCCGCGAUUUAGAUGCAGCCCACCGACUCUGCUCCCCCACCACGGCGGGCUCCAGUCUGAGGCUAAAUCUACCCAAGACACUGGCUGUCAGACUGAUUUAGCUGCAAGAAUGCACUUGUCCAGGCAGACGUGAAGCCUUACCCGUAGCAAAGCCAGCCAGAAUGGAGUUCACAGCCGCAGUGUGUCUGGUGACCCACAGGGACCAUGAUGAAAAUUCAUCUUCCAGAAGGUCCCAGAGCAGUGUCCACACCCCCUGAAAAGACCAAGGUGUGAGGUGUCUGCUGUUGAUUCCAGCUUCCACCUCAGUGACAGUGCAAGCUCAGUGAACUGUUCAAGGUAAAAAAAAAUUAAAACAUUUCAGAAUUUUUAAGAUAUUAACAAUUAAAUAAGUAUGUGAUUACAUCAUGACAUCAUGAAGGAGGCUACUGAUUCUGCCCGUGACACUUGGUGGUGACGUGUGAGCUGAUUCACCUGGAAAAUAACUUUUACAUUAAAUAUUUUGUUUUUGCUAUCAAAAGUAAAUUAACUAAUAACCUGCAUUAUUGCAGGACACUCAGCAAAAUAUGGACUCUACAACAUGAGGCAGGCACACGUUAAUAUUCUAUAAGAGCACAUAAGGUGAGCAACACCACAUAUUGUACACUGUCCUGAAUUUGUUUUCUUUCUGCAUCUCAUUAGCCUGGCUGAUCACCUGAUAACUCCUGUCAUCUGGUUAUGACAGCAUGAGGAUGUCCUCACACACCUGUAACCUAUCAGCUCAUCUGGCAGAAUAGAGAGAGAAGAGACAACACCACAUCUCCUGUUCCUGGAAAGCCUUCAGCCAUCCUUCAAUGACUGAGAACCUCCAUCAGCUCUGUCUCCUGUCUGCCUACAAUUAUUAUAAUAAAUAUUGUGUUUGACAAGUUUUUUGUGCUGCCAAAUAUCUCAUUUAGAUUCCAGUUUUUAUAUUUUAAUGGAUAUUUAUAAAUUACAUUGAUUAUCACAUUUUUGUUGCAUGUUUAACUAGCUAUUGUGAUUAAUUAAACUAGCACCUCACUGUUAAAAGCUCGUUUUAAUUUCAAGCAUGUUUAAGUAUUUAUGGACAUGAACAAAAACAGGAAAUAUAUAAAUUGAGAUUUAUUUAAUU